UACAGGGGGUGCAAGCGUUGCUCGGAAUUACUGGGCGUAAAGCGCACGUAGGCGGCUUUGUAAGUUAGAGGUGAAAGCCCGGGGCUCAACUCCGGAAUUGCCUUUAAGACUGCAUCGCUAGAAUUGUGGAGAGGUAAGUGGAAUUCCGAGUGUAGAGGUGAAAUUCGUAGAUAUUCGGAAGAACACCAGUGGCGAAGGCGACUUACUGGACACAUAUUGACGCUGAGGUGCGAAAGCGUGGGGAGCAAACAGG
rnacentral:rRNA from 1 species